AUAGUUUGGAUUUAUGAAUUUAUGAUAUUGUUUUCCAAGAAAAUUCCUAGUGAAUGUCAAAGAACUUCUCAAAUUGAUACUGUAUUGAUAAUUGGUAGGUACAAAAUGAAAGUAGACUCGAAACAUCAAGUAGCAACUGAAACGGUGAUAUACAUUUUUCUAUAUUUUACCAGGUAAGCUGCAAUAGCUAUCAAUAAAUAAUUUGCUUUUAAUUUCAUUUCAAAUAUUGAAAAAUAAGUUCUCUGGUCCAUGUAUUUUAGUUACCUUAUUUAUUCAUAAAUCUUAUAAUUUAGUAAAAACAAUGCUGCGCUUCAUAGAGUAAAUAACAUUUCAGAAAUAGUUACGAGGAUAUUAGUCUAAAUGUAUUCAUGACAAAGCUUAUUUAAUGAAUUGUUAUUGAAAUACUACAUCAUCUCCCCCGUUAUGAAUGCUAAUUGAAUGGCAAGUUAUUGUUUAGAUAUUAAGUCUCAGAUAAUUAGAUUUAACAUGUCAAGUAUUACACUCUAGAAUUUUCUAUCAAAUCUCCUCUUUGUAACUCGAUAUCGAUGUUUUAAUGUACAAUUGAAGUCUAGUGUUACAUCUGACAUACACCUAGGUUUGACAAUUUUACCUGUUAUGUCUGUUUGUAUCGAUUACACAUCAUUGUCAAAAUAAUCGAAUUUGAUGCGACUGUCAUACAAGUGAGUGGUUAAUUUAGUUAUGAAGCAAGGUUUAUUCCACCAAUUUCUACAAAAAACAUCAUUUUACCAAGUCAAGAACAUGACAGUUGUUAACAAUUAAUGUGAUUUGUUUGAACUUUUGAUUUUGCCUUUGAUUAGGGACUUUCCGUUUUGAAUUUUCCUCGCAGUUCAGUAUUUUUGUGAUUUAACUUUAUACAUCAUAUACAUCACUACGCAAAGAGUUAUUCAUUUCAAUUGCUCAGAUAGAUUAAGAUAUAAGACAAAGUUCUGAUAUCCUGUAUUGAAACAAGGUUUAUCAUUUCUACAUCUACAUCUACAUCAUACGACGAUCCAUCAUUACAUUAAUGACUAUACGUCGGCGCAUCGCAAACAGACACUUAAUAAAAUAUAAUAACUAAUUUUGUGCAAUAAUUCCAAAAAAAAAUUUUGUGCAAAAACAAAACAAAAAUUAACACAUUUACAUUAUUUACAAACAGGUUAGAUAUCUAAAUAUACUGACUCUGGAUCAGUAUUUUAAACUGAUCCAGGGAGUUAACACUGAUGACGUUUUGUGGGAGUGAGUUCCACAGUACAACUGUGAAUGGAAAAAAGCUGUACUUGAAGUAGUCUGUUGUGCUAAAUGUUUGGUAUUGUAAUGAAUUAGUGAAUCUGUGUUUUUGACUGGCUGUGGUAAAAGGUAAAGGUUUGGUCUACUGCAAUGAGAUGUGUGAGAUUUGUAAAGCAUAGUGACUCGAUUGAUGUUUCUGCGAGUUUCAAGUGACUUCCAUUGAAGAUGGUCAAUCAUGGAAGUGACACUACUGGUGUUGUGGUAUACAAGUAUCUUGUCUUAGGGAGGGAUAAAUCCUACUUUGUAAAGAAUCACUCUGAUUCAAACAAAAAAUUCUCUGAAACUGAUAUUAUCAAGAUGCUUGAUUCUUGAUUGACAAACAUAUUGUUACGUUCGAGGACGUGUUUUCAACAGACUGUCGGCUUCCAAUGGGAACAAACUGUGCCCCUCUACUCGCCGACUUGUUUCUUUAUUAUUAUGAGGCUACUUCAUGCAGGAACUUCUUAGAAGAAAGAUAAGAAGUAGCAAAUAUCUUUAACUCUACUUUCCGCUAUUAUAGAUGAGUUCUUCACUAAACAUUCAAAAUUUGGUGACUAUGUGGAAGCAUCUAUCCAUCGAACUAGAGAUAAAGAUACUACAGAUACAGUUAAGUCGGCUUCAUAUCUUGACUUACAUCUAGAAAUUGACAAUGAGGGUCGGUUGAAAACAAACUUACGACAAAAGAAUGAUUUCAGCUUUCCAAUUGUGAACUUUCCAUUCUAAGUACAAAUUCCAGCAGCACCUGCAUACGGGGUAUAUAUUCCAUUGAUACGAUAUUCCCUGUGCAUGCAUUUCUAAUCUGAUUUUUCUUGAUAGAGGUUUGCUGCUCACAAGGAAGCUAUUAAAACCAAGAGUUCCAAUGUGAGUUGAAAUCAUCCCCUUCGUUUUACGGACGCCAUCACGAGUUGGUUGACCGUUAUGGAAUACGUUUCACAUGAUAUCGGAUAUGUUCCUUACUCGUAACUACAAUCCCCUUCCCUUUCAUGAUAUGAUACCUACCCGAAUUAGACUUUUACCGGAUUUGUAAUCACUUAAGAAACACGAGGGGUGCCACAUGUGGAGGGAUUGCUUACCCUCCGGAGCACCUAGAUCACCCUACUUUGUGGGGGUUCGUGUUGUUUAUUCUUUUUUCUAUGUUGUGUCGUGUGUACUAUUGUUUUUCGGUUUGUCUUUUUUAUUUUUAGCCAUGGCGUUGUCAGUUUGUUUUAGAUUUAUGAGUUGACUGUCCCUUUGGUUUUUCGUCCUCUUUUGGUGACAUAGCGUGCUGCCCUUCUUUGUACUUUUUCAAUGUUGUUUUUUUGUUUUUGGGUGUGAGGUGACAAACUGAAGAGCAGUAUUUCUAAAUUUGAACGUACCAUGGAUUUGUAUGCCAAACUUUUAGUUUCUUCCUGAUUUAUUUUUAAGUUUUCUUUUUAGAAAGCCUAAGAUCUUAUUUGCUUUUGCAGAAUUAUUUAUAUGUGUAUCCCAAGACAUGUUGUGAGAAAGGGUGAUACCGAGAUAUUUUGCAGUGCUGACGGAUUCUAACAUGUGGCCUACUAAUACAUAGUCAUGUUUGAAUAGUGACUGUGAUCUUGUCACAGUGAGAGAGUUGCAUUUUUCUGGAUGGAAUUGCAUACCCCAAGUUUGUUCCCAAUUGGCUAGGCAGUUUAGAUCAUUUUGUAGUAUGGUACAAUCUUGUUGAUUUGUUAUGUUUCUGUAUAAGAUACAAUCAUCUGCAAACAAGCGUGUUUUUUGAUGUUACUGCUGCAGGUAGGUCAUUAAUGAAGAUGAGAAAAAGUAGUGGACCCAAAACUGAGCCUUGGGCACCACCCACUUACCACAGGCAUUUGACUAGAUACCUCUCCGUCAAGGGCAACCUGUUGCGUUCUGUUACUAAGGAAGGCUGAUACCCAAUUCCAGGUAUUUCCCCUUAUGCCAUAAUUAUCCAUCUUCCUUAAUAACUUUUUUGUGAGGUACCUUGUCAAAUGCCUUGGAAAAGUCUAAAAUAAUAAGAUCAAUUUGUACACCAUUAUGGAGGUUACUAAGUAGUUCAUGACUUAAAGUAAGUAGCUGUGUUUCACAGCUGCGUUUAGAUCUGAAGCCAUGCUGAUUAUCCACAAGGAUGUUAUGUGUGUCCAGAUGUUUUAGUAUGUUACUUACAACAAUGUGUUCGAGCAGUUUGCAGCAAAUGCAGGUUAGGGAGACAGGUCUGUAAUUGCUGGCUAGGUAUUUUUCGCCUUUUUUAAAAAUAGGGAUCACAUUUGCCUGUCUCCAGUCUGUUGGUACAUCUCCUUUCAAGAAAGAUGUGUUAAAAAUGGAAGCGAGAUGUGGUGCAAAUUCUGGUGCAAAUUGUUUAAGAAUUCGUGCUGGUAUUUCGUCUGGACCUGUAGCUUUAGAUGGAUCAAGAUUUUUCAAAAGUUUUUCUAUGCCAUUUGGUGUUACAUGUAUUUCUGCCAUAGAUGGAUAGUUGUCGGAUAGAGUUGGUAUUUGUUCUUUAUCAUUUUCAGGUGUAAAAACAGAGUGGUAUUGUUUAUUGAGUAUUUCAGCUUUUUGUUUUGUGUCGUCUAUCAGCAUACCUUCAGAUCUUAAUGGUGCAACUCCUGAACUGUCUUUUUUGGUGGACCUGAUAUAAUUCCAAAUUUUUUUCUGUUUUUGCGAGGUUUGUAAGCUUUCGUCGUAACAAAUGAUGUUUUCCAGAUAAGUCCAGUAAGCUUUUCUUGUCUCUUUCUGAAGCAGUUUUUUUUGUUUCCCUGUACUGUUUAUUUUUUUUACUAUGCGAGUCUGUUUUCAUUUUUUUGAACAAUUUGUUCCUUUUUCUAAUCAGUGACUUUAUUUCUUUAUUAAUCCAUGGUAGUUUUUGUUUGGUGUUAUUAAUCAUUUUAGUUUCAUGUGCUCAAACAUGAUUAAAUAGACAACGGACUAUUGUUGAAAAAUGUAUAUUGCCCAUUACGUGUCAUAUUGGUUUGUGUUUUAUAUCGUAUCUUUUUAAUCAUAUGAUGCUGCCAUAUGCUGAUAUCAUAUUCUAAAUGGCAGAAUUUCGAAAUUGAAGCUGUUUCUUAAACUUAAAUCUGACGUCAAAUUUAGGCACGAAUUGAGGACUUCGUGUAGUUCAUAACAAACAAGGACAGAUGCAUUAUUCGUUAAUCUCUGUAGCAUUUGCAAAUGGUUUUUUUUUCAAAGGUUGAUGAAAUAUGCAUGGUCAUCUUGUAUAAAGUUAUUUUAAUUGAAUUACUAUUAAAAGUGUAUUUUCAAUUAUAAGAUGUUCCGAUCAUAUUCACUUUUUGGGGAAAUGAUACGGGGAGUAACUUUUUUUGGUUUUAUUGAUAAAUACGAUAAUGAAAGUAGAUUUUCUGAAAUUCACAGAAAUAUUGAUGUGACAUUAAUUGAAUUUUUUUAAAAGUGACGUGGACAUUUUCCACUGCAUCUGAACAGGUUAGCUAGGAUAAGGAUUAAAAGCAAGUGUCAUUUAAAUGAUACAGUCAUAAAACAGAUAGUGAAGGCAAAUUUCUUUUAUCUUACUAGCUAAGAAUUUUGAGUAAAAGCACAUAAUCGUCCCUUUUUUCAACAAUAUGGUAGAGUUUUUGACUUUUUCACAUUUCCUUGAUUUUCUUCAACUAGAUUCCAAGACUUAAAUAUUAAAUCUAUCUAUCUUAAGGUGGCUAGGGUGUCUUAAUUAAAAUUGAUAGAAUUUUUUGAAAGCUUGUCAAAAUGAUGUUUUAUCGUGCUUGUUUUCAAAAUUAUAUUAAAAAGUAUGGGUCACCGGACUUUUUUUAACGCUACAGGUUGUGCAAAAAAGUCAGAUUUUGUACAGAUUAUGCAUGGAAAAUCAAAUUUUGUGUAAUGAAAAGAAAGCGUACUGUUAGAACUCUAAGAUAAAAUGUGAGAAGAUUGCUCGUAUAACAUGCUUUCAGAUAAGAAAAAGAAAAAAGUGGGGUCACCGAACUUAUUUUUUUUGCUACAUAUCAAAACAGGUAAAUCCUUACACUUUCUAUUAUAAAAAUUACUUUAUCUAAGUUAUCUCCCUUUAUUUGGCAAAGUUAAAAAAUCUAAUCAAACACACACAAGGUGUUUUGGAGAAAUUACAGCUGUAAUUAUGAUAAAACACACAAUUUUAUAUAUUUAUUUCAAAAGUCUUUUACAUAAACUACAUACAACUCUCAAAAUUGGCACAUUUCAUUAAAUAUCUAGACCAAAGUUAUAUGCUUCUUCAAAAUCCAAGAUGGAGGAAGACAACCGAGCCACCUUAAAUGUGUUUAUGGAUAUAUCUAUAUAAAUCUUUGAACUGAAGGAAUUAAUUUGUCUAAUUUUCAGGAGUACGGGUUGCUAAAAUUUAAUGCGUGGGUUGUUUGUUCUGUUGUUAGUAUAUCGUCUCAUACGUUAAAAAAUAGACAUAAACCAGUUUCUAGAAUUUUUUGUUGUACACGAAGUAUUUUGAUGGAAGCAUUUGAUAAAAAAUAGUUUAUCAUUUAUUUUUAAAUGUGGUUAAGUAUGAAGCUACGCAUUUUUGGAUCUCUUUGAAUUUUAUGUUAUUAACAUUUAUUGAUAAGCGGCUGUUCAAUGUUAAUUUCAUUGCAAGACAUGUAAGUUAUCUAAAUAAGCAAUACAGAUUUCAAAUUUCGAUUUGACUUUGUUUCAAAAUCAAUGAGAUUUGAUAAAAACGCCUGCUUUUACAGUAGUAUAAGUUUUAUGUGGUAUAUGUUAUCUGUAUAAGUAUAUAUAUAUAUAUAUAUAAUUUGAAACCAUAAUUUAUACUUAAAUUGCAAUACUGACUUGUUGAUAAAAUCAGUAUAUUAAUCAGUUUUGCUUUUUUUGCAGACCAAUGGAUUUCAAAGAAAUCGAACCAGAUGAAUUCCUCUCUUGUUUUAUCGAUCGCGUUGUGAAUCCGGAUGCCGAAUAUCUUACACAAUGUGGAAAGACUAUUGAUGAAGUAGCAAAGGUCUUGAAGUCUAGUGAAUUUGAUUAUAAAGUGAUGCGUACCAUCAAGGUAUAGUCUAAUAAUUUAGUUUUCUGUUGAAAUCUUCGUAGAAAAAAAUGUAAACCGAAUGUUUUCAUUAAUUAAAUUAUACUAAUGUCCCAGUUGUUUUUUGAAACAACUCAUCAAGAAAUGUUAUGCGUCGUUACAUGAUAAUUAAUCAUUGCAAUACUUUCAAUCAAGGACGAUAAAUAAAACUUAUCCUAAAUUGGAUUAAAAUAUCACAUCUGCAAUACAAUUUGUGAAUUAUAGAAAAAACUAAAAAGUUAGUUCACAUUUCUCAAAUAAAUAGUAUCCGGCAAGAUCAGUCCUACAAUCGGUGCUUUUAACAAGCAAUAUGUGGAUCUAACAAGCUCUUCUCGUUGGGAAAAGAACGCAUUUCAUAACAGAUUUAUUUUUAAAUAAAGUAUAUGUUACAGUUCUAUUACUAAAUAAGCUCAUCAUAGACACCAGGAUUAAAUUGUGCACCUACUCCAAAUGCGCGAUUCGUCUACAAAAGACUCAUCAGUGACGAUCGAAUCCAAAAAAGUUGAAAAAGCCAAAUAAUGUAUGAAGUUGAAGAGCACUGAGGAACAAAAAUUCGUAAAAGUUUUGCCAAUACAGCUAAGGUAAUAUAUUCCUGAGAUAGAAAAGCCUGAGUAUUUCAAAAGGUUGAAAAGUUUUGUAAACAGUUUUAUGUCUGUAGAUCAAUCAAGCUUGCGUUUUUGUAAUUUCCAGUUUUUUGCACAAUGUUCAUUUUAAUCUUUAAGGGAGGAUCCAUCGGGAAAGGAACUGCAGUUCGUGGGCUUUCAGAUGUGGAUCUUAUAUUUCCAUUAUCCGACAUCACCACUGUAGAAGCUCUUAAGCAGAAAAUGGACGGAAUCCAGGAUGCCAUUCACAGUCUUCU
rnacentral:lncRNA from 1 species